GAUGAACGCUGGCGGCGUGCCUAAUACAUGCAAGUCGAGCGGCAGCACGGUCUUCGGACUGGUGGCGAGCGGCGGACGGCAGAGUAACGCGUAGGAAUAUACCCCAAAGUGAGGAAUAACUGCCCGAAAGGGUGGCUAAUGCCGCAUGUGGUCUUCGGAUUAAAGCUUUAUGCGCUUUGGGAAUAGCCUGCGUUCGAUUAGCUAGUUGGUGAGGUAAUGGCUCACCAAGGCUACGAUCGAUAACUGGUCUGAGAGGAUGAUCAGUCUGACUGGAACUGAGACACGGUCCAGACUCCUACGGGAGGCAGCAGUAGGGAAUUUUCCACAAUGGACGAAAGUCUGAUGGAGCAACGCCGCGUGCAGGAUGAAGGCUUUCGGGUCGUAAACUGCUUUUAUGUGAGAAGAAUAUGACGGUAACACAUGAAUAAGGGUCGGCUAACUACGUG
rnacentral:rRNA from 1 species